rnacentral:rRNA from 1 species
UACAGAGGUCCCGAGCGUUGUUCGGAUUCACUGGGCGUAAAGGGUGCGUAGGUGGUGAGGUAAGUCGGAUGUGAAAUCUCGGAGCUCAACUCCGAAAUGGCAUUGGAAACUACCUUGCUCGAGGGUUGGAAGGGGGACUGGAAUGCUUGGUGUAGCAGUGAAAUGCGUAGAUAUCAAGCGGAACACCAGUGGCGAAGGCGAGUCCCUGGACAACUCCUGACACUGAGGCACGAAAGCUAGGGGAGCAAACAGG